GCUCGCGUAGCUCAGUCGGUAGAGCGCAUCCUUGGUAAGGAUGAGGUCACCGGUUCGAAUCCGGUCGUGAGCU
rnacentral:tRNA from 2 species